CUAAAAUGAACAUGGACACUAGCAAAUUACACUGGGGACAUCAAGAAUAUAAUCUUGGACAGUAUCAGCUCAAGCACACACGGCCUGGUCCACCUCCUGCUCUGCCAGCAGAGAGCAGUGUUUGAGAGCAAACACAGGAAAGUCCCUACCAGUCACCAUCUCCACUGUAGCCUUCUACAUAAUCAGAAAUUAUAGAAGAGAAGGUGAGUCGCACAGUUAAGUGAUGUGAAUCUACAACCUCUUAGUUUAGGGACCAUUCCAAACUGGGUCUUUUUGACAAUCACUCAUACAGUAGGACAACCAAUCAGUCUUCAGGCUAUUUUGGAGUCCAACCCACUGCCAGUCAUCAUCCAACAAAUAACGCCACUCGUUCUGCCGUGGCUGUCAGGAGGUCAUAGGCUGGACACUGACAAUCACACGCACCUAUGAGGAGCAGCUCUUAAUGGGCUUUCCUUUCAGCAGCAAAGGUAUUCAUGGCUUGAAUUCAUUUUAAAGAAAUCUGAUCUAUCAUUAGUUGAAACCUGCUCUGAAUGUAACAGCAGGUCAUUUGUAUGGUGACCUCAAAUAUGUAUACGUUUGUCAUAUAGCCUUUUACCACAAAUAGUGAGAACUUUGCAUUUGAGUCCAAAAGAAUGCAGAUUUAGUCUCCGAGAACUUAUUAUGUGUUGUUGUUAUGCAGGAAUCCUCUCCAGACACACUCCUCUGGUGCUGCCCAUGUAUAUGAAGGAGGUGCAUAGUGCACUGGCAGAGGGGUUGGAGAGAUCGAUGAGCUGGGCCACAGGAACAUUUUAUCUUUCAAGAUAUCACCGUUUUCAAUUAGAGUUGAUUGAAAAGGGUCACAAAUAAAUGGAGGGGAAGCCAAUCUACAUGUACAUGAGCCUGAAGAUCCAGGGUGAUGAAAUCAACCUCUACCAGCACCUUGACUAUGAGACAACGAGCCUCCUGCUUUACAGAGAAAAGCAGCAAGACCCCCACCUCUACCGCCUAAACCACAAUAUUUACAAAUAGCUAGACACAAACUUCCAACCCUUUCUUCAUCAUUGGAGAACAAUUCCCAGUCCUACUCUGGUGGCUCUUGGCACCCACUCUUCUGCUCCUUAGCAGAGGUGCCCUCUAAUCUAGUGUGUGGCACAGGUGUGCUCCAGCCUGCGACUGCUCAACUUGGGCUAGUAAUGCCAGGCCUUUGAGAGGGAGAAGAUUGAUGGGGACGUGUUGAACACAGUGGAGCCCAGCAUGAUGAGGAAGACCCUGGGUAUGGGGUACCUGCACGUGGAGAAGCUGCUCCGCUUCCAACAUGGCUGGAGGCCCUUACUUAGGUCCUUUGGAGCUGAGCAGGUUGGGUAGUAACGGAUUACCUGUAAUGGGGAUAUGCAAUCAGAUUAUAAAAAUUACAGGGGCAAUCUGGGAACCAAAAACCAAUAAAGUGGUCAUCCUGCCACUUUUUUGGUAACCAGCUGCAUUUUUUGGUAACCAGCUGCAUACAUAAAAGGACAUUUUGGAAAAAUGUAUUGCAUAUUUUAUGUUAGGCUAAGUACCAUUUACAUUGGUAAUGGUUGAAGUGUCAUUCAAAAUAAAGGUUACUUUUGAAGCAAUUCCUGCUGGGAAGCAAACAUUCAUCCACACAGCAUGAUAAAAAGCACAGGUUUCAGGCUUACUGCCUUGUCCCGCUGUCACACCACAGGGCCGG
rnacentral:lncRNA from 1 species